rnacentral:rRNA from 1 species
UACGAAGGGGGCUAGCGUUGCUCGGAAUCACUGGGCGUAAAGCGCACGUAGGCGGCUUCUUAAGUCAGGGGUGAAAUCCUGGAGCUCAACUCCAGAACUGCCUUUGAUACUGAGAAGCUUGAGUCCGGGAGAGGUGAGUGGAACUGCGAGUGUAGAGGUGAAAUUCGUAGAUAUUGGGAAGAACACCGGUGGCGAAGGCGGCUCUCUGGACCGAGACUGACGCUGAGGCGCGAAAGCGUGGGGAGCAAACAGG